rnacentral:rRNA from 1 species
CGGUUUCCGUGACGCAGCUAACGCAUUAAGUUCCCCGCCUGGGGAGUACGGCCGCAAGGCUAAAACUCAAAGGAAUUGACGGGGACCCGCACAAGCGGCGGAGCAUGCGGAUUAAUUCGAUGCAACGCGAAGAACCUUACCAAGGCUUGACAUAUACGAGAACGGGCCAGAAAUGGUCAACUCUUUGGACACUCGUAAACAGGUGGUGCAUGGUUGUCGUCAGCUCGUGUCGUGAGAUGUUGGGUUAAGUCCCGCAACGAGCGCAACCCUCGUUCUAUGUUGCCAGCACGUAAUGGUGGGAACUCAUGGGAUACUGCCGGGGUCAACUCGGAGGAAGGUGGGGAUGACGUCAAAUCAUCAUGCCCCUUAUGUCUUGGGCUUCACGCAUGCUACAAUGGCCGGUACAAAGGGCUGCAAUACCGUGAGGUGGAGCGAAUCCCAAAAAGCCGGUCCCAGUUCGGAUUGAGGUCUGCAACUCGACCUCAUGAAGUCGGAGUCGCUAGUAAUCGCAGAUCAGCAACGCUGCGGUGAAUACGUUCCCGGGUCUUGUACACACCGCCCGUCAAGUCAUGAAAGUCGGUAACACCUGAAGCCGGUGGCCCAACCCUUGUGGAGGGAGCCGUCGAAGGUGGGAUCGGUAAUUAGGACUAAGUCG